GUCAUACAAUGGCCGGUAACGAGACGGGUAGCCAACCCGCGAGGGGGAGCCAAUCCCACAAAGCCGGUCGUAGUCCGGAUCGCAGUCUGCAACUCGACUGCGUGAAGUCGGAAUCGCUAGUAAUCGCGGAUCAGCAUGUCGCGGUGAAUACGGUUCCCGGGUCUU
rnacentral:rRNA from 1 species